rnacentral:rRNA from 1 species
AACCCCGGGAGGGGAGUGAAAUAGAACCUGAAACCGUGGGUUCACAAGCAAUCAAGGGACCAUCUACGCGAGUAGCGGUCUUUUGGUGUGCCUAUUGAAGCAUGAGCUGGCGACUUACGUUAUGCAGCGAGCUUAAGCCAGGAGGCGGAGGCGUAGCGAAAGCGAGUCCGAAUAGGGCGGAUAGUUGCAUGGCGUAGACUCGAAACCCAGAGAGCUAGCCCUGACCAGGCUGAAGCCGAGGUGACACUCGGUGGAGGGCCGAACCAGUUGGAGAUGCAAAUCCUUUGGAUGAGUUGGGGUUAGGAGUGAAAAGCUAACCGAUCUGGGAGAUAGCUAGUUCUCCUCGAAAUGACUUUAGGGUCAGCCUCGGAUGCUUAUUUGGGCCUGUAAAGCACUGAUAGGGCUAGGGGGCCUACCAGCCUACCAAACCCUUUCAAACUCUGAAGGGUCCGAAAUGGAGUCCGGGAGUGAGGGCACGAGUGCUAACAUCCGUGUCCAAGCGCUGGAACAACAGAGAUCGCCGAUUAAGGUCCCCAAGUGCGGGCUAAGUGGAUAAAGAUGUGGGGUUGCCCAGACAGCUAGGAGGUUGGCUUAGAAGCAGCCAUCCUUUAAAGAGUGCGUAAUAGCUCACUAGUCGAGUGACCCUGCGCUGAAAAUGAUCGGGGCUUAAGCCCGCCACCGAAAUCGCGGGUUGUGUUGGGGCCGCUCGCGGCUCCAACACAACGGUAGAGGAGCGUUCCCCAUGCCGAUGAAGCCAUACCGUGAGGAGUGGUGGAGGUACGGGAAGUGCGAAUGCCAGCAUGAGUAACGAUAAAAGAGGUGGGAAUCCUCUUCGCCGUAAACCCAAGGUUUCCUACGCGAUGGUCGUCAUCGUAGGGUUAGGCGGGGCCUAAGGAUAAGCCGAGAGGCGAGGCCGACGGACAACUGGUUAAUAUUCCAGUCCUACUACGCAGUGCGAUGGGGGGACGCUUUAGGCUAAGCGAACCGGAGCCGUGGACGAGCCCGGACAGAAACCCAAAGGGGACUAUAGGCAAAUCCGUAGUCCAGUACCGGUGGGUGGUGUGGAAGCCGCAAGGUGACAACUCGCCGAAGCCAGGGAGCCGAGAAAAGCCUCUAAGCAUAACUGCGCAGUACCCGUACCGUAAACCGACACAGGUGGGUGGGUGUCAAUGCACCAAGGCGCGCGGGAGAACCCUCGCUAAGGAACUUUGCAAUCUAGCCCCGUAACUUCGGGAGAAGGGGUGCCACGCGUAGGUGAGGGUGUACAAUCCAAGCCGAACGUGGUUGCAAUAAAGUGGCUCUAGCGACUGUUUACCAAAAACACAGGACUCUGCGAACACGCAAGUGGACGUAUAGGGUCUGACGCCUGCCCGGUGCUGGAAGGUUAACCGGAGGAGUUAGCCGCAAGGCGACGCUUUGAAGGGAAGCCCCAGUAAACGGCGGCCGUAACUAUAACGGUCCUAAGGUAGCGAAAUUCCUUGUCGGGUAAGUUCCGACCUG